rnacentral:rRNA from 1 species
UCGUAGGUGGUUGGUCACGUCUGCUGUGGAAACGCAACGCUUAACGUUGCGCGUGCAGUGGGUACGGGCUGACUAGAGUGCAGUAGGGGAGUCUGGAAUUCCUGGUGUAGCGGUGAAAUGCGCAGAUAUCAGGAGGAACACCGGUGGCGAAGGCGGGACUCUGGGCUGUAACUGACACUGAGGAGCGAAAGCAUGGGGAGCGAACAGGAUUAGAUACCCUGGUAGUCCAUGCCGUAAACGUUGGGCACUAGGUGUGGGGGACAUUCCACGUUCUCCGCGCCGUAGCUAACGCAUUAAGUGCCCCGCCUGGGGAGUACGGUCGCAAGGCUAAAACUCAAAGGAAUUGACGGGGGCCCGCACAAGCGGCGGAGCAUGCGGAUUAAUUCGAUGCAACGCGAAGAACCUUACCAAGGCUUGACAUACACCAGACCGGCCUGGAAACAGGUCUUCCCCUUUGGGGUUGGUGUACAGGUGGUGCAUGGUUGUCGUCAGCUCGUGUCGUGAGAUGUUGGGUUAAGUCCCGCAACGAGCGCAACCCUCGUUCUAUGUUGCCAGCACGUGAUGGUGGGAACUCAUAGGAGACUGCCGGGGUCAACUCGGAGGAAGGUGGGGAUGACGUCAAAUCAUCAUGCCCUUUAUGUCUUGGGCUUCACGCAUGCUACAAUGGCUGGUACAAAGAGAAGCGAACCCGUGAGGGUCAGCGAAUCCCUUAAAGCCAGUCUCAGUUCGGAUCGUAGUCUGCAAUUCGACUACGUGAAGUCGGAGUCGCUAGUAAUCGCAGAUCAGCAACGCUGCGGUGAAUACGUUCCCGGGCCUUGUACACACCGCCCGUCAAGUCACGAAAGUCGGUAACACCCGAAGCCGGUGGCCUUAACCAGUUUCUGGAGGGGGCCGUC